rnacentral:rRNA from 1 species
GUGACUGCGUACCUUUUGUAUAAUGGGUCAGCGACUUAUAUUCUGUAGCAAGGUUAACCGAAUAGGGGAGCCGAAGGGAAACCGAGUCUUAACUGGGCGUUAAGUUGCAGGGUAUAGACCCGAAACCCGGUGAUCUAGCCAUGGGCAGGUUGAAGGUUGGGUAACACUAACUGGAGGACCGAACCGACUAAUGUUGAAAAAUUAGCGGAUGACUUGUGGCUGGGGGUGAAAGGCCAAUCAAACCGGGAGAUAGCUGGUUCUCCCCGAAAGCUAUUUAGGUAGCGCCUCGUGAAUUCAUCUCCGGGGGUAGAGCACUGUUUCGGCAAGGGGGUCAUCCCGACUUACCAACCCGAUGCAAACUGCGAAUACCGGAGAAUGUUAUCACGGGAGACACACGGCGGGUGCUAACGUCCGUCGUGAAGAGGGAAACAACCCAGACCGCCAGCUAAGGUCCCAAAGUCAUGGUUAAGUGGGAAACGAUGUGGGAAGGCCCAGACAGCCAGGAUGUUGGCUUAGAAGCAGCCAUCAUUUAAAGAAAGCGUAAUAGCUCACUGGUCGAGUCGGCCUGCGCGGAAGAUGUAACGGGGCUAAACCAUGCACCGAAGCUGCGGCAGCGACGCUUAUGCGUUGUUGGGUAGGGGAGCGUUCUGUAAGCCUGCGAAGGUGUGCUGUGAGGCAUGCUGGAGGUAUCAGAAGUGCGAAUGCUGACAUAAGUAACGAUAAAGCGGGUGAAAAGCCCGCUCGCCGGAAGACC